UAUAAGUGCAACCAUAAGUUUCCGUGCCCAACUUUGAUCGUUCUUCUUAUUUGAAAUUUUUUUAUAAUUAGUAUUUUUAUUGUUAUGAGAUGAUAAAACAUGAAUAGUAAUUUACUCGUGACUUAUGUUUUUAAAUUUUUUUAGAGUGAAUUGCACUUCGGACCAGUUUUUAUUACCCGAGUUGCGUAUUGGACAAGGUAAU
rnacentral:pre_miRNA from 1 species